rnacentral:rRNA from 1 species
UAGUGGCGAACGGGUGAGUAACACGUGGGCAAUCUGCCCUGCACUCUGGGACAAGCCCUGGAAACGGGGUCUAAUACCGGAUAAUACUUCCUGGGGCAUCCUGGGGGGUUGAAAGCUCCGGCGGUGCAGGAUGAGCCCGCGGCCUAUCAGCUUGUUGGUGGGGUGAUGGCCUACCAAGGCGACGACGGGUAGCCGGCCUGAGAGGGCGACCGGCCACACUGGGACUGAGACACGGCCCAGACUCCUACGGGAGGCAGCAGUGGGGAAUAUUGCACAAUGGGCGGAAGCCUGAUGCAGCGACGCCGCGUGGGGGAUGACGGCCUUCGGGUUGUAAACCUCUUUCAGCAGGGAAGAAGCGUGAGUGACGGUACCUGCAGAAGAAGCGCCGGCUAACUACGUGCCAGCAGCCGCGGUAAUACGUAGGGCGCAAGCGUUGUCCGGAAUUAUUGGGCGUAAAGAGCUCGUAGGCGGCUUGUUACGUCGGUUGUGAAAGCCCGGGGCUCAACCCCGGGUCUGCAGUCGAUACGGGCAGGCUGGAGUGUGGUAGGGGAGAUCGGAAUUCCU